AUGUCCCCGAAAUGUCCCCGAAAUGUCCCCAAAAUGUCCCCAGUGUCCUUAAUGUCCUCAAGUGUCCCCAAAAUGUCCCCAAAAUGUCCCCAGAAUGUCCCCAACCCCCCAAUGUCCCCAAAUGUCCCCAAAUUCCCCCAAAUCCCCACAAUGUCCCCUCAAUCCCCCAAUGUCCCCAAAUCCCCUCAAUCCCAUAAAUGUCCCCAAUGUCCCCUCAGUGUCCCCAGUGUCCCCAAUGUCCCCAAUGUCCCCAAUGUCCCCUCAGUGUCCCCAGUGUCCCCAAUGUCCCCAAUGUCCCCAAUGUCCCCAAUGUCCCCAAUGUCCCUCAAUGUCCCCAAUGCCCCCCAAUCCCCCCCAAUGUCCCCUCAAUGUCCUCCGUGUCCCCAAUGUCCCACAAUGUCCCCAAUGUCCCCAAUGUCCUCAAUGUCCCCAAUGUCCCCAAUGUCCCCUCAAUGUCCUCAGUGUCCCCAAUGUCCCCAAUGUCCCCAAUGUCCCCAAUGUCCUCAAUGUCCCCAAUGUCCCCAAUGUCCCUCAAUGUCCCCAGUGUCCCCAAUGUCCCCUCAAUGUCCCCAAUGCCCCCCAAUCCCCCCCAAUGUCCCCUCAGUGUCCUCAAUGUCCCACAAUGUCCCCAGUGUCCCCAGUGUCCCCUCAAUGUCCCCAAUGCCCCCCAAUGUCCCCAAUGUCCCCAGUGUCCCCUCAGUGUCCCCUGUGUCCCCAGGGCCGCUCCCCGCCGGCUCCGGGGUCGCUGCAGCCGCUGGCGCGGAGGUUGGGCUGCUCCGAGAGACAGCUCGGCAUCGCGUGGUCCCUGCGCCUCGAGGGCGUCAGCUCGGUGCUGCUGGCGGCCGAGACCCCGCGGGGGCUGCGGGAGCUGAUCCAGGCCCUGCAGGUCCUGCCCCGCCUCGGCCCCGCCGCCCUGCGCGAGCUCGAGCCCAUCCUGGGGGGCGGGGCCUCGCCCUGACCCCGCCCCCUCCGCCGCCUCCCAUUGGCUGCUCCCGCAUGGCCCCGCCCCCCUCCGCGCGCGCCUCGGCCCCGCCCAAUCGGGGCGGAGUCUCCGACAGCAAUAACCCCGCCCCCCCAAAAUGGGGGCGGGGCCAAUCAAAGCACAAACCCCGCCCCUAUUCAUAACCUUGACCAAUCGCAGCGCUUCCAGCGGGGGGGUGUGGCCUGAUAGGCCACGCCCCCUCCCGCCCCUCCCCCGCUGUGGGGGGAGGGGAAUAAAGUGGCUUUUCCCAUGU
rnacentral:lncRNA from 1 species